GUCAUACAACUUGAAUACCAUUGUUUGGAUCUGCAUCUUGAUAUUGAUAUAUGCAUUCUUUCAUGUUGUCCAACUGUUCAAUAAUAUAUUCCAACUUCUUGCAACAGAUCUCAUUAGAGAAGGAAAAAUGAGAGGAGAGACUUGCUCUGAGGAAGAGGCUAACGCCCUUGGAGAUGGGCAAGAACUGGGUGGUGGUCCUUCCCUCUCUUGAGGGCGGCAACAGAUGAUUACUGAGUUCUUAUGAACAGUUUUGGAACCUGAUAAUAGGGAGAAGAUUGUGGAUGACGGUGGCGGUGGAGAUCCUCAUCCUCCUAAACGUUCUUUCUCGACUGUUGUGGGAAGAGGACUUCCUGAGGUGGAUGAUCUACCUGAUCCAAUUCAUGUUGGGUCCUUGACCAAGAUCAUUGUUCCCCAAGAGGCAUAUAAGGAGCGAUUAGAAGGCUUUCGAUUUGCUCUUAUUGGGAGAACUAAUUUCAGGUUUGUCUCCAUAGAUGCCAUUCAUAAGGAGGCGAGAGAGUCCUGGAAUCUAAAGGGUAGGGUGGUUUUGGCGCCUAUGGGGAAAGGUUUUAUCCUCUUUCAAUUUGAAACUGAGGCAGACAUGUCCUUGAUAUAGAGAAGGAAUUUCAUAAAAGUUGAAGGGCAAGUUAUUUGCUUUCUACGUUGGAGACAGGACUUCAGCAUCCAUGACAAGCAUGACUGCCGGUGGCCAUUGAUCGACGCACUCGCAAUGCAGGUGAAAGCUGCAGGACGAUGGUUUGGAUUCGUUUUCCAAACCUGCUCGUGUGCAGGUUGAGAUGGAAUAGGAGGAAAACAUUUAGAGGAAAUUACGGUCAAACGGAGACAAUCGGGCUCUUGUGAUUUGUUUUGGUUCAAGCAGUCCAUAGUCUAUGAAGAUUCUCUGGGAACCUGUGAGUACUGUAAACAAUCCUCAAGUUCCAUGGUUGCAUCCCUGGAAAAACAGACAUAAUAUUUCUGCCUGUAAAUUUUGCAAAUCCGCUGAGUAAGGAACCAUCCUCAAGUUCCUGGAGCUGUAUAUGCGGAUGAGACAAGGGAAGAGGCUUGCGAUGUUGGUGCUGCUCGUAUUAUUGAUUAAGCUAAUGCAGUUUUCAGGCCUUCUUUGGGCGUUUUCAUGCCAGGCGGUGGUCAGGAGAGCGGUGGCCAUGGUGGAAAUCCAAGUGAGGCAAGGAGAGAUUCUGGUACGCUAUUCUUGAAAGGCAAUUUGGAUGUUACUAGCCAGCCAAUCAGAGAGAGUCCUUCUAUAGAGUGAGGGAUUUCAAAUCUGUUUUUACCAAGUCAAGGCUCGGGUCAAAUUCAUGUGGUGAUUCCUUUAAAUAAGGAAACUAAUGUGCGCCCCACCCAGGAAGACUUUUAUAAAGCUCAAAACAUUGGACAUGGACCCGGGUCAUCUAAAACCCGGUCACGUAUCCUAAAUUCAGGCUGUGGGGAGGAAAUUGAUUCGGGCUCUGAUUCAUCAAGGCAUUCUUCCUUAGCAGAGAGCGACUGUGGAGAUGAGAAUGGCGCUGAACUUGUUAUUUCUUCCAUCUCUCCAAGCUCGCUUCAUGAAGGUGCGAUAGUGAUUCAUCAUGAGGAAAUUGCAGCUGCGGACGCUCUGAUUAAUGCAACUGAAAAAACCCAUACUGAGGAUGGUAGGCACAGGAAGGAGAAGACUUUGGCCAAUACGGAGCAGACGAGAAGGUCUAACCGUAUAGCCACAUGAAAGAAUUAAGGUAUGAAGUUCUUUUUUUGGAAUGUGAGAGGUUUUAAAAAAACCUCAGCUCAUAUGGCCCUAAAAAUUUUUGUAAGGGAUAAAAAUCCUGAUUUUCUAAGUCUAGCCGAGCCCAUGAUUGAUUCAUCGGUUUUCCCAGUUAGAUCAUGUGGUAAGAUGGGUUUUGAAACAAAUUUUAUAUGCAGUUUAAGGGUUGGGAAAGAUUCAAACCAAUGGCUGGUUUGGAGAAAAUGUAUUCCAAUGCCUACUGUUGUUUCAGCCUCGGAACAACAAAUAUCUGUGAGUGUAAAUUGGAGAAAUAAGAUAGUUAGGAUCUCUAUGAUUCACGCUAGUUGUUUCAGAGCAAAUCGUAGGGAGUUGUGGGCUGAUUUAGCUGCUGUGUAUUCUCCAACUGAUCCCUGGAUGAUGGUGGAUGAUUUUAAUGCUUUGUUGGCCUCGCAUGAGAAGCGAGGAUCUGAUGCAUUUAAUUUGGGGUCUAUGGCAGAGAUUGCUGCCAUAGUUGAUGUUUGUCAUCUGAUUCAGUUGCCUUCCCAGGGUGUCAAAUUUACUUGGACAAACAAUAGAAAGAGAGGGAAUGUGUCGGCUGUUCUGGACAGGGGGUUUUGUAAUGACACCUGGCUGUCUUAUUUUCAA